UACGGGGGGAGCAAGCGUUGUUCGGAUUUACUGGGCGUAAAGGGCGCGUAGGCGGCCAGCACAAGUCAGUUGUGAAAUCUCCGAGCUUAACUCGGAAAGGUCAACUGAUACUGUGCGGCUAGAGUGCAGGAGGGGCAACUGGAAUUCUUGGUGUAGCGGUGAAAUGCGUAGAUAUCAAGAGGAACACCUGCGGCGAAGGCGGGUUGCUGGGCUGACACUGACGCUGAGGCGCGAAAGCUAGGGGAGCGAACGGG
rnacentral:rRNA from 1 species